CUGGUGCCCAGGCUUCAGCCCCAGCCAUCUUUCUGUGAACACAGAUAGGCUGGUUUCUUACUGACCCCAAAUGUGUGUGGUGAUUCAGGAGUCAGUGACUUUCCAGGAUGUUGCUGUGGACUUCACUGAGAAGGAGUGGCCUUUGCUGGAUUCUUCUCAGAGAAAACUGUACAAAGAUGUGAUGUUGGAGAACUACAGCAACCUCGCCUCAGUGGGGUAUCAGGUGGGCAAACCCAGCCUCAUCUCCCACUUGGAGCAAGAAGAGGAGCUGAGGACAGAGGAGAGGGCACUUCACCGAGCCACAUCUCCCGAUUGGGAGACUCCAUCUAAAAGCAAAUGGUCCAUUCUCAUGGAAGGCAUUUUUGGAAAGGAAACAUCCAGCGGUGUGACAGUGGAAAGAACACGUCUCGGAGAGAAAUCCACCGAGUACACUCACCUGUUUGAAGUCUUCAGCAUGGGCACUCAUCUUACUCAGCAGAUGGGAAGGCACGCUGGCAAGAGGCCCUAUCACCGCCGGGACUGUGGGGCAGCUUUCAAGAACAGGUCACAUCUCGCCCAACAUGUGAGCAUUUACAAUGGGAGGAAAAUGCAUGAAUGUCACCAGUGCCAAAAAGCCUUCACCACAAGUGCGUCCCUUACGCGGCACAGGAGAAUACACACAGGGGAGAAGCCCUACGAAUGCAGCGCCUGUGGGAAAGCCUUCAAUGAUCCCUCCGCCCUCAGGAGUCACGCGAGAACUCACCUCACAGAGAAGCCCUUUGACUGCAGUCAGUGUGGAAAUGCCUUCCGAACCCUCUCCUCGCUAAAGAUACAUAUGAGAGUUCACACUGGGGAGAGACCUUACAAGUGUGACGAGUGUGGGAAGGCGUAUGGCAGGAGCUGCCACCUCAUUGCACACAAACGAACCCACACUGGAGAGAGACCCUACGCAUGCCACGACUGUGGGAAAGCGUUCCAGCAUCCCUCCCAUCUCAAAGAGCAUGUCCGCAAUCACACCGGAGAGAAACCCUAUGAAUGCACACAGUGUGGAAAAGCCUUCCGAUGGAAGUCGAACUUCAACUUGCACAAGAAGAACCACAUGGUAGAGAAAACAUACGAAUGUAAAGAAUGUGGGAAAUCCUUUGGUGAUCUCUUGUCACGGAGAAAACACAUGAGAAUUCAUAUUGUAAAAAAACCCAUUGAAUGUAGACAGUGUGGGAAAGCGUUCCGGAACCAAUCCAUCCUUAAGACACACAUGAAUUCUCACACUGGAGAGAAACCCUAUGGGUGUGAUCUGUGUGGGAAAGCCUUCAGUGCAAGCUCAAACCUGACCACACACAGGAAAAUCCACACUCAAGAGAGACGCUAUGAAUGUGCCGCCUGUGGGAAAGUGUUUGGGGACUAUUUAUCCCGGAGGAGGCACAUGAGCAUUCAUCUGGUAAAGAAACGUGUUGAAUGUAGGCAGUGUGGGAAAGCCUUCAGAAACCAGUCAACCCUCAAGACACACAUGAGAAGUCACACAGGAGAGAAGCCGUACGAGUGCGAUCAUUGCGGGAAAGCCUUCAGCAUCGGCUCCAACCUUAAUGUGCACAGAAGGAUACACACUGGGGAGAAGCCCUACGAAUGCCUGGCCUGUGGGAAAGCCUUCAGUGACCAUUCAUCCCUUCGGAGCCACGUGAAAACUCACCGGGGAGAGAAGCUUUUCGUGUCAUCCGUGUGGAAGAGGCUCCAUUUUCAGCUGUCCCUGGCGAGGCUCCCUCAUGUCUGCCAUGGCCUGCCAAUUUGGCUUGUCAGCACCUUCACUCAAGACAUCCUCCUCCUACAAACCAGACAAGGCCUGGACCUGCCCUGCCAGAGCAUUCCAGAAGAUCAAGAGCUCCCCUGUGCAAGUUUUGGUCAAGUCCCUAUUACAUAUUCAGGAACACCAGUUAUCAGCACCUUGGAUCUCUGUUGUCUGUCCUUAGCUUUGGUUAUCUCACUGAGAGUAAGCUCCUCUCCUGAAAAGUCUCCUCAGAGCCCUUUUCAUGUCCCUGUUCUUCAGACUGUAGAUGAAGGGGUUCAGCAUGGGGGUGACCACUGUCAUCUUGAGGACAGUGGUAGAAGUGAAACCUAUGUCACUGAGGGACAGGUUGGAGAGGAAGAAGUACAUGGGGGUGUGGAGGUGAGAGUCAGAGCUGACGGCCAGGAUGAUGAGCAGGUUCCCAAGAACGGGUUUAAUAAUGGGUCUUGGAUUUACCCUUGCUUUAACAUAGCUAUUCAUUAUCACCUUUUGGCAGUAUCGUUCGAUUCCAUAUAUAUCAGGUACAUGGAAGCAGGAAACCGAACAGAAGUUUUAGAGUUCAUCCUCCUUGGGAUCUCUGAGGAUCCAGAAUUACAGCCCUUCAUAUUUGGGCUGUUCCUGUCCAUGUUCCUGGUCACCGUGCUCGGGAACCUGCUCAUCAUCCUGGCCAUCUGCUCUGACCCCCACCUCCACACCCCCAUGUACUUCUUCCUCUCCAACCUGUCCUUGGUUGACAUCUGUUUCAGCACCACCAUAGUGCCCAAGAUGCUGGUGAACAUCCACACAGAAAACAAAGCCAUCUCCUAUAUGGACUGCCUCACGCAGGUCUAUUUUUCCAUGUUUUUUCCUAUCCUGGACACUCUACUCCUGACUAUAAUGGCCUAUGACCGGUUUGUGGCCAUCUGCCACCCCCUGCACUACACGGUCAUCAUGAACCCAUGCCUCUGUGGCCUGCUGGUUUUUGUGACCUGGUUCGCUGGUGUCAUGACAUCUCUUCUUCACAUCCUUCUGAUGAUGCAUCUGAGCUUUCGCCGAGAUCUUGAAAUUCCACAUUUCUUCUGUGAACUGACACAGAUUCUCAAGUUGGCCUGCUCUGAUACCUUCCUGAACAGCUCAUUGAUAUACUUUAUGACUGGUGUGCUGGGUGUUUUUCCCCUUAUUGGGAUCCUUUUCUCCUACUCACAGAUUGCUUCAUCCAUAAGGAAGAUGUCUUCAUCUGGGGGAAAGCAAAAAGCAUUUUCCACCUGUGGGUCUCACCUCUCAGUGGUUUCUUUAUUUUAUGGAACAGGUGUUGGGGUCUACUUCACUUCUGCAGUAACUCACUCCCCCCAGAAGGUCUCAGUGGCUUCGGUGAUGUACACUGUGGUCACCCCCAUGCUGAACCCCUUCAUCUACAGCCUGAGGAACAAGGAUCAAACACACCAGCUACAUGGGAGGAGGAAACCAGACAGAAGUAUCAGUAUUCCUCCCUCUGGGCCUCUUAGAAGAUCCAGAACGCAGCCUCUCCUCUUUGGCUUGUUCCUGCCCAUGUAUCUGGUCACGGUGCUGGGAAACCUGCUCAUCAUCCUGGCAGUCGGGUCUGACUCCCACCUCCACACCCCCAUGUACUUCUUCCUCGCCAACCUGUCCUUUGUAGACAUCUGCUUCACCUCCACCACCAUCCCCAAGAUGCUGCUGAACAUCCAGGCACACAGCAAAGACAUCUCCUAUAUAGGAUGCAUCACUCAGGUGUAUUUUUUUAUGGUUUUUGCCGGAAUGGAUGAUUUCCUCUUGACGGUGAUGGCCUAUGACAGUCAGAAGCAUACCAUCCAUACAUCCAAAAAGGAUCAAAAAGGACAUCUGAGUCAGGCAACCCAUAUAGGAGAUGGCUCUGCUCUGAAUUUGGAUGUCCACGAUCAUCUUGGGGAUUGUGGAAGAAGUGAAACCGAUGUCAGCCAAGGACAGGCUGGAAAGGAAGAAGUACAUGGGGGUGUGGAGGUGGGAGUCCAAGCUGACAACCAGGAUGAUGAGCAGGUUCCCCAGCAUGCGUACAGACGAGGUGGAGGCGCUCGUCCCCGUGACCGAAUGGCAGGGAUGCUUUUACUUUCCGAAAAGACAGCAAAGGAUGCUUUGGAAGGCCGAUUACACAUAGGAGAGUGGUUUUCUAACUCUAGCCUGCAGCCGACUCAACCCGGCUGCUGGACGCAGCCCAGAGCUCCUGAUUCAGUGAGUCUGGGACGAGCCGCGGCCGGGGCAGGAAAAGCUCGAGUGCAGCGAUGCAGCGACUGUAUUCAUUAUCUCCACCGGGAACGUGCAACAAGCUAUGCAAUGAAGAGUAUGAUGCGUUCACGUAUGCACCAAGAUUUGAAAGCAAAUCUUAUUCAGUUAAGCCAUGUAAGAGCACGGGCUGGGGAGGAAAAUAAGCCGCUUCGGACCCAACGGCCCGCUUCCUUCCCGCGGGACGAAAACGGGAUCCCUCCUCCGCCAGUUGGUUGGCACAACAGCCGUCUGUGCGGCGCUCCCUUCCGGAGAGGCCCCGCCCCUUGCGCCGUUCGCGGAGACCUGAAAAGCGCAUGCGCAGGGCGACGGCCAUCUUGGCCGCGCGCCACUCCUGCGUCUGAGGGGAGGUCUCCCAGUCUCAGCUGCCGGGCUUGGAGCGCCUACGCGGGAAGGAAGGACCCCGAGGGGGAGGCGCAGGCGACCCCCGUCCCCGGCAGCCUGGCGGUUGUGUUUCCUGCGGGCGGGCGCCCGGUGCACUUGUGGGUGUCGGUUAUUGAAAUUCGUCUUUGUGAGAAGAAGUCAGAAGAGGAAAGGCUAGUGACCAGGUGUCUGACAAAUUAUUCUCAGGACCCAGUGACCUUUGAGGAUGUAGCUGUGGAAUUCACCCAGGAGGAGUGGAUUUUGCUGGAUCAAACUCAGAGAAGGCUGUGCAGAGAUGUGAUGCUGGAGAACUACAAGAGUCUGGCUGCAAUAGAUUGGGAGAUUUGUCUUAAUACCAAAUGGUCAGCACCUCAGCAGAAUAUUUUGCAGGGGAAAACACCCAAUGUGGUAGAAAUGGAAAGAAGCCAUACUGGAGAGGAAUUGUUUAAUUUUAACCAUUGGGAAGAAGCCUUGAGUGAACACUCCUGCUUUAAGAUUUACAGAUUACUCACAUUAGAAAGAAAACUUGUGAGUGCAACCAGUGUGUAAAAGCCUUCACAAAGAACUCUGCCCUUAAUCUAUACAACAAAACCCAUGAUGGAGAAAAGCCUCCUAAGUGUAAUCAGUGUGAAACAGUUUUUAGCCAAAAUCCACAUCUGUUCGUGAGAAAACUUACACUGGAAAGAAACGCUAUAAAUGCACGGACUGUGGGAAAGGCAUUCCUUCUUCUUACACCUUAGAGAAUGUGUAAGAAUUCAUAGUGGAGAAAGGCCACAUACCUUUAAGGAAUGUAGGAAAGCUUUUUCUCAUUCUACAGGCCUUUUUGAGUAUAUGCAAAUGAACAAUAGAAAAAAGUCCUACAAAUCUAAAGAAUGUGGGAAAACCUUUAUUUGAUCUUCUUGUCUUAUUCAUCAUUUAAGAACUCAAAGUGAACUGAUGCCUAUGGAAUGUAAGAAAUUUGAGAAAGCCUUUCCUUGUUCCCCAAAUCUUGCUAAAUGUAUACGAUUUCAUAUGAGAGAGACACACUGUGUUUGCAAGGAGUGUAGUAAAGAGUUUACUUGUUUCCCAGAACUUAAUAUUCACAUGUGAGUUCACACUGGAGAAGAACCAUAUGAGUGUAGUAAAUGUGAGAAAACCUUCACCAAUUCUUCAGGUCUUAUAAAACAUGAACUCACACUGGAGAGAAGCCUUAUGAAUGUAAGGAAUAUGGGAAAGCCUUUAGUAACUCAUCUUGCUUUAAAGGUCACAUGCAAACUCCCUUGAGUAAAAGCCUAUAAUUGUAAGCAGUGUGAGAAAGCCUUUAAGAAUUCACAGUAUAGAACUUUUGAAUGUAAGGAGUAUGGGAAGUCAUUUAGGUAUUCUUUGCACUUUAGUCAACAUAACAUACUGGAGAGAAGCCAUGUAAAUGUAAAAAGGGUGGGAGAGCCUUCACUAUUUCAUCAGGCCUUACAGUACACAUGAGAAUUCACACUGGUGGAUGACCUUUUGAAUGUAAGGACUGUGGGAAAGCCUUUACUCGGUCCACAUACUUUAUUCAACAUUUAAGAACUCACAGUGGGGAAAAGCCAUAUAUAGAUGAGGAAUGUGGGAAAACCUUUACUACUACUUCAUGCCUUACAGAAUGUAUAAGAUUUCACUCUUGAGAGAAGCUUAUGCUUGCAAAGAAUAUGGGAAAGCCUUUAAUACUUUCUCUUAGAAAACACUAAUUCAUAGUGAAGGUAACCUUAUUAAUGAGGAAUGUAGGAAGCCUUUAGCUCUGCCUUAUACUUCACUAUUCAGCUCUGAUUUCACAGGUAUGAAAAAUCUUAUAAAUGUAAAAAGUGUAGGAUUUUUUUUUAAUUCUUAUCCCCCACUUUGGGAAAACAUGAGAGCACA